UACGUAGGGGGCAAGCGUUAUCCGGAAUCACUGGGCGUAAAGGGUGCGUAGGCGGUCGACAAAGUCUGGGGUGAAAGGCUACGGCUCAACCGUAGUAAGCCUUGGAAACUUGUUGACUUGAGUGCAGGAGAGGUAAGUGGAAUUCCUAGUGUAGCGGUGAAAUGCGUAGAUAUUAGGAGGAACACCAGUGGCGAAGGCUACUUACUGGACUGUAACUGACGCUGAGGCGCGAAAGCGUGGGGAGCAAACAGG
rnacentral:rRNA from 1 species